rnacentral:rRNA from 1 species
UGGGGAAUAUUGGACAAUGGGCGCAAGCCUGAUCCAGCCAUGCCGCGUGAGUGAUGAAGGCCCUAGGGUUGUAAAGCUCUUUCACCGGUGAAGAUAAUGACGGUAACCGGAGAAGAAGCCCCGGCUAACUUCGUGCCAGCAGCCGCGGUAAUACGAAGGGGGCUAGCGUUGCUCGGAAUUACUGGGCGUAAAGGGAGCGUAGGCGGACAUUUAAGUCAGGGGUGAAAUCCCGGGGCUCAACCUCGGAAUUGCCUUUGAUACUGGGUGUCUUGAGUAUGAGAGAGGUGUGUGGAACUCCGAGUGUAGAGGUGAAAUUCGUAGAUAUUCGGAAGAACACCAGUGGCGAAGGCGACACACUGGCUCAUUACUGACGCUGAGGCUCGAAAGCGUGGGGAGCAAACAGG